rnacentral:rRNA from 1 species
UACGGAGGGUGCGAGCGUUGUCCGGAAUCACUGGGCGUAAAGGGCGCGUAGGCGGCCUUCUAAGUCAGACGUGAAAUCCCCCGGCUUAACCUGGGAACUGCGUCUGAUACUGGAGGGCUUGAGUAUGGGAGAGGGAUGUAGAAUUCCAGGUGUAGCGGUGAAAUGCGUAGAUAUCUGGAGGAAUACCGGUGGCGAAGGCGGCAUCCUGGACCAUUACUGACGCUGAGGCGCGAAAGCUAGGGGAG